rnacentral:rRNA from 1 species
UACGUAGGGUGCGAGCGUUGUCCGGAAUUAUUGGGCGUAAAGAGCUCGUAGGCGGUGUGUCACGUCGGCCGUGAAAACCUGCAGCUUAACUGUGGGCGUGCGGUCGAUACGGGCAUCACUGGAGUUCGGUAGGGGAGACUGGAAUUCCUGGUGUAGCGGUGAAAUGCGCAGAUAUCAGGAGGAACACCGGUGGCGAAGGCGGGUCUCUGGGCCGAUAUCGACGCUGAGGAGCGAAAGCGUGGGGAGCGAACAGG